rnacentral:rRNA from 1 species
GAGUAAUGUCUGGGAAACUGCCUGAUGGAGGGGGAUAACUACUGGAAACGGUAGCUAAUACCGCAUAACGUCGCAAGACCAAAGAGGGGGACCUUCGGGCCUCUUGCCAUCGGAUGUGCCCAGAUGGGAUUAGCUAGUAGGUGGGGUAACGGCUCACCUAGGCGACGAUCCCUAGCUGGUCUGAGAGGAUGACCAGCCACACUGGAACUGAGACACGGUCCAGACUCCUACGGGAGGCAGCAGUGGGGAAUAUUGCACAAUGGGCGCAAGCCUGAUGCAGCCAUGCCGCGUGUAUGAAGAAGGCCUUCGGGUUGUAAAGUACUUUCAGCGGGGAGGAAGGGAGUAAAGUUAAUACCUUUGCUCAUUGACGUUACCCGCAGAAGAAGCACCGGCUAACUCCGUGCCAGCAGCCGCGGUAAUACGGAGGGUGCAAGCGUUAAUCGGAAUUACUGGGCGUAAAGCGCACGCAGGCGGUUUGUUAAGUCAGAUGUGAAAUCCCCGGGCUCAACCUGGGAACUGCAUCUGAUACUGGCAAGCUUGAGUCUCGUAGAGGGGGGUAGAAUUCCAGGUGUAGCGGUGAAAUGCGUAGAGAUCUGGAGGAAUACCGGUGGCGAAGGCGGCCCCCUGGACGAAGACUGACGCUCAGGUGCGAAAGCGUGGGGAGCAAACAGGAU